rnacentral:rRNA from 1 species
ACGAACGCUGGCGGCAUGCCUCACCCAUGCAAGUCGCACGAGACCUUCGGGUCUAGUGGCGCACGGGUGCGUAACGCGCGGGAACCUGCCUUUAGGUUCGGAAUAACUCAGAGAAAUUUGAGCUAAUACCGGAUGAUGUCUUCGGACCAAAGAUUUAUCGCCUUUAGAUGGGCCCGCGUUGGAUUAGCUAGUUGGUGGGGUAAAGGCCUACCAAGGCGACGAUCCAUAGCUGGUCUGAGAGGAUGAUCAGCCACACUGGGACUGAGACACGGCCCAGACUCCUACGGGAGGCAGCAGUGGGGAAUAUUGGAAAAUGGGCGAAAGCCUGAUCCAGCAAUGCCGCGUGAGUGAUGAAGGCCUUAGGGUUGUAAAGCUCUUUUACCCGAGAUGAUAAUGACAGUAUCGGGAGAAUAAGCUCCGGCUAACUCCGUG